CCUUGUACAUGAUCCAAACUAAGAUAUAAUUAAUCCUUAUUGGAAGCAAAACCAGCCUAUUUGGUUUAUUUCAUGUUUACAUGGUUUUCUAUUAGACUUAAAGUAUGAAGAUCCAAUUUAUGGAAAUAGCCAUUAACCGGAAAGCCCAAAGUCCGAAGCAUUCUGAAUAAAGGCAUACAAAACCUGAAAAAUAGAGCUGGCACCAUUCCGACACCCCAAAAAUCCUUAAAUGUCCAUUCUUUCUAUUACUUUUCUUUAUAUAUUCUGAAUAAAGGGUCCCAUACCUGUACUAACCGGUCAAUAUGUACAGCAGAAUUGGGUCACUAAAGAAGUCGCUAUCUGCAGUCAGACCAGUCAGUAUGUAAAGCAUACAUUAGGUCUCAUUUAUCAACACUGGGAACAUUUGCACCUGGGCAGUAACACACAGCAACCAAUCAGGGAUUAGCUGUCUUUCAACCAUCUGCAGGUAUAAAGCAAUAAAGGCAAAUGUUUUUAUUGGUUGUCGUGGGUACUGCCCAGGUGCAAAUUUACCCAGUGUUGAUAAAUGAGCCCCGCUGUAUUUAAUCCUUUGGGCUCAAUUAGGGUGAGGAAGUGAUGCUUUAACUUCAGUCACACAUUCAUCUUUGUGGCAGUUAUUUUUACAAAGAUAUUCAGAGCCAUAAGAAGUUUUUGUUGGAUAAAUCCACAAGGGCAGUAUUUGUUAUCAAAAUAACAGCUGCAAUUAUUUCCUCUCUGUGUAAUGGUUUUUAAUGAAUCUUGGUUUUCAUAGUCACCAGUAGGUGGCAGUGGAUUGCAAACUUCACAUCUCUUAUAGCAGGGCUCCUCACACUUUUUAAACGGGGCUAGUGCAUUGGGGGGCCAGUCAUGAAUUUCCAUGCACACUACUCACAUCUUAUUUUUAGUGCAAAAAAAAAACCUGAAAGAACAAUACAAUAUAUAACUAUUUUGGCACAAUUCGGCUCCUACUUUGGCAGUUUAAGGGGGGCCCGGCUAAUCCAGAAAAUGCAGCAUGGCCGAGCCCCCCUUAACAUAUACAGUAGAAGCCAUCGAGCCAAUGACAAUUGUCCCCCAGUCCCCCCCUGUUGGCCGCCCUCCACACUUUACUAGUGAUGUGCGGGUCGAGAAUUUCUCAACCCGCACCCAGCCCUAACCUGCACCCUCCCAAUCCGCACCCGGUCUGCUUCUGCCCCUCUUUUUAUAGACCCAUGCCAGCACCGCAAUGACUUCCCUAAAGGAGCAGGCGCAAGUCUAUAAAUUUCAGCGCCGGAAGUGCUAAGUGUGAGAAGAGCUCAACCCGGACCCACCCGCAACCUGAAGAUUUUGUGCAGGAGUCACCCGACCCACUAUUAACUACAUAUCUGUAUGUCCCUGAGAGAGGGGAUUUGGUUGACAGUUCCCCUGUAAACCUAUCUACGAUCACAACAUGUGCGGAGGGUGCGUGCAAAAGGAGUAGCUGGAGCGGUGAUGUGCUGGUCGACAGUAAAAUGACUCGAACCCUA